UCCGUAGGCGGUUCUUUAAGUCAGUGGUGAAAUCCCAGAGCUCAACUCUGGAACUGCCAUUGAAACUGAAGAACUUGAAUAUGGUUGAGGUAGGCGGAAUACGUUAUGUAGCGGUGAAAUGCAUAGAUAUAACGUAGAACACCAAUUGCGAAGGCAGCUUACUAAACCAUUAUUGACGCUGAUGGACGAAAGCGUGGGGAGCGAACAGGAUUAGAUAACCUGGUAGUCC
rnacentral:rRNA from 1 species